GACGGAGGAUGCAAGUGUUAUCCGGAAUCACUGGGCGUAAAGCGUCUGUAGGUGGUCAAAUAAGUCAACUGUUAAAUCUUGAGGCUCAACCUCAAAAUCGCAGUCGAAACUAUUAGACUAGAGUAUAGUAGGGGUAAAGGGAAUUUCCGGUGGAGCGGUGAAAUGCAUUGAGAUCGGAAAGAACACCAACGGCGAAAGCACUCUGCUGGGCCGACACUGACACUGAGAGACGAAAGCUAGGGGAGCAAAUGGG
rnacentral:rRNA from 1 species